rnacentral:sRNA from 1 species
GCCUCGGACUCACUAUCUGGAGAGAACAGUCCAGCCCCGCAGGGGCGACCUGCGGAAGUCCAGGACUCUUCCGUGCCAGUGAGGAAGGGGCAAGGGGAGUGGAAGGCAAAGUGGGAGUGCGGGAGUAUGAUUUUCUGGCUUGGGGGAUUUGGCAAGCCUGAGUCCAAAUCUCACCAGUGAUGCCUGGCCUUGAGCAAAUGACUUAUCCUCUUUUCGACUUAGUAUUUUAACCUGUGAAUAGAAAUAUUGGUAACAGCCAAUGAGAGAAUUCCAUGAUCAAGCUACUUAGGGAGCCCAGCUCAGUUAGUUACGGGGUCACCAUUAUUAAGUUUUCCUGUCUAAUUACACCUGUCCUGCAGCGCAUGGUAGAAGUGAGGCCAGGCUGGGCAGACACCCCCACCCACUGCCCCGAAACUGCCUGCUGUUUUAUCCCAGAUUUGCAGCGGAUCAUCCCAUCACCUGGCCCAUUUUACAGAGAAGGAAACUGAGAGACAACUGAGUGACUUACCCAGGGCCACAAAGCCUGCUGGGGACUUAUUCAAAGAUGACUGGCUGGCUUUCAUGUUCAGAACUCCUCUGUACCUUUCAGGUUCCCGCCCAGCCCAAAGCGGGAGGCUCUGGCAGCUACUGGCCAGCUCGGCACUCAGGAGCCCGAGUGAUACUGCUGGUGCUCUACCGGGAGCACCUGAAUCCUAAUGGUCACCACUUCUUAACCAAGGAGGAGCUGCUGCAGAGGUGUGCUCAGAAGUCCCCCAGGGUAGCCCCUGGGAGUGCUCGACCCUGGCCAGCCCUCCGCUCCCUCCUUCACAGGAACCUGGUCCUCAGGACACACCAGCCAGCCAGGUACUCAUUGACUCCAGAGGGCCUGGAGCUGGCCCAGAAGUUGGCCGAGUCAGAAGGCCUGAGCUUGCUGAAUGUGGGCAUCGGGCCCAAGGAGCCCCCUGGGGAGGAGACAGCAGUGCCAGGAGCAGCUUCAGCAGAGCUUGCCAGUGAAGCAGGGGUCCAGCAGCAGCCACUGGAGCUGAGGCCUGGAGAGUACAGGGUGCUGUUGUGUGUGGACAUUGGCGAGACCCGGGGGUGAGUGAGGUGGGGAGAAACGAGGGAGAUGAUCGGAGGAGGCUGGGGGGUAGGCACUGCCCUGCUCUGAUCUAGGCUUCCCUCCUUGCCACUCCAGGGGCGGGCACAGGCCGGAGCUGCUCCGAGAGCUACAGCGGCUGCACGUGACCCACAUGGUGCGCAAGCUGCACGUUGGAGAUUUUGUGUGGGUGGCCCAGGAGACCAAUCCUAGAGACCCAGGUGAAGGGCCGUGGACAGGCUGGCACCAGGGGCAGGGCCUGGUGGGUAGGGGAUCGCAAGCUAACGGCUGGCUUGUCAGCAGCAAACCCUGGGGAGUUGGUACUGGAUCACAUUGUGGAGCGCAAGCGACUGGAUGACCUUUGCAGCAGCAUCAUUGACGGCCGCUUCCGGGAGCAGAAGGUAAUUUUGCUGGCUUUGCCAGGCUUCCCUGCCUGCUCCGAAGCCCCGUUUUCAGCCCAGAGCAAUCCAGGGGCACUUCUGGCAGCCUCCUUGAGGCAGAGCCCUUUGGAAUCCAGCCACACCCACCCUGUGGCUGCUCCCGGAUCAGACCCCCACAGGCCCAUCCAGGCGCACAGUAGGAAGCCAGGUACCUGCAUUCUUGGGCUGAGGUCAGGAGCAUUUUAAAGACCUCUUGGGUACCCAGCCCCUGCAGUCUUGGAUAAACAAGGCAUAAAUCUCCAGGAGUGGAAAUACAGAGGCUGUACCUUGGUACUUGCUGCUGGGUGGACCCCUAGUCACAGAGGCCAUGUGCCAGCCCAGGGGAGGCUUGAAGGAUGGGCGGUGUUGAGAGAUGGAGGAAAGGCUUUCUAGACAAGAGUGUCAGCAUGAGCAAAGCUGCGGAGGCCCCUGUGAGGCAGGUGGAGAGGCUAGGGAGGAUGCAGAGGCUAACUGGUGGGAACAGGGUCACAGCACCAUUUUGAGUGUGACAUCAUGGAUGCCCAGGCAUGUGGUCAUCCAGCCUGACCCUCCCUGUCCACUCUGUACACUUCCCUAGUUCCGGCUGAAGCGCUGUGGUCUGGAGCGCCGGGUAUACCUGGUGGAAGAGCAUGGUUCCGUCCACAACCUCAGCCUUCCUGAGAGCACACUGCUGCAGGCUGUCACCAACACUCAGGUCAUUGAUGGCUUUUUUGUGAAGCGCACAGCAGACAUUAAGGAGUCAGCCGCCUACCUGGCCCUCUUGACGCGGGGCCUGCAGAGACUCUACCAGGUGAGCAGAGGCCCCUUUCCCAGUGUCAGGACAGAGCCCACAAGGAAUUCACCUUGCCUGGGCCCUGUGCAUCCCCAAAAGAAGCAAGGUGGGUGAGAUCCCCAUUUCUCAGGCUGGCCCCCCAAGGCUGAGGACUGGGCAGGGGCUGGCUGGAGUUGUUCCUUUGAGCUCCAGCCUGGCCUCAGUCCCUUCUUCCCUCAGGGCCACACCCUACGCAGCCGCCCCUGGGGAACCCCUGGGAACCCUGAAUCAGGGGCCAUGACCUCUCCAAACCCUCUCUGCUCACUCCUCACCUUCAGUGACUUCAACGCAGGAGCCAUCAAGAAUAAGGUACUGUCUCUGCCUAGCUUCUCAGACAUGGCCUGGCCCAGACCCCCACUGAUCCAGCCCUUCCCCGAACCCAGGCCCAGUCGGUGCGAGAAGUGUUUGCCCGGCAGCUGAUGCAGGUGCGCGGAGUGAGUGGGGAGAAGGCAGCAGCCCUGGUGGAUCAAUACAGCACCCCUGCCAGCCUCCUGGCCGCCUAUGAUGCCUGUGCCACCCCCAAGGAACAAGAGACACUGCUGAGCACCAUCAAGUGUGGGCGUCUACAGAGGUGAGGGCAAGAGACGGAACCUGGAGGGAGUGGCAGGGACUGGGGCUGCCCUAGGCCCAGGGCGUGACCCUUGCUGCCUCUCUUCCUGCAGGAAUCUGGGGCCUGCUCUGAGCAGGACCUUAUCCCAGCUCUACUGCAGCUACAGCCCCUUGACCUGAGCUUAUGCCGUGAAACAGCCCCCAGCCCCCGUCUGUCCCCCAACCCAGGCUAGCCAGCCUUUUAACAACAUCUUUUGGGGUACAAUUAGAAUCUAAGUGUUUGCAGCCAUAUGUGUCAUGUAGAAGAUGCCUAGCCCUGGGGACCUUGUGAAAUACGCAGGAACCAGGGAUACCAUCUGGUCCAGUGGUUUUUAAACAAAGCUGCUUAGCACCUGGAAUUCCCUGGUCAGGGAGAUGGAGUCAGUGGGGCAUUGCAGCUUGGAAUCUAUUUUAUGUCACCAGUUGGUCCUCAUCAAAUAAAAUUUCCUUAGGAGUGCAGAGGGCUCAUUGGGAAAAUAAAAAUAAUAAAAAUAAAUAAAACUUCCUAAAAGAAAAGAUUGAAAACC